UGGGGUGUGGAUCAGUGGAAGAGCACUUGCCUAGCAUGUGUGAGGCACUGGGUUCAAUUCUCAGCACCGCAU
rnacentral:tRNA from 1 species